GGUUCCAAGUAGUGUAGUGGUUAUCACAUCUGCUUUACACGCAGAAGGUCCUGGGUUCCAUUCCCAGUGGAACCA